CUUCCGGAGGGUAAAAUCACGUGACACCUGUGCGAUGGUGGUACAGGGAUGCAGUGGAAAGUAUGGUGGUGAUGCUGCAGCGACCACCCCCUCUCUGCCACAAAGAGAAUGCAGAAGAAUUUGGAAUCCUAGUGGACGUGUAAUGAGAUUCUGUCACUCCGUUCCUGUGUGUCUCACUGUGCUGCUCCCUGCCCGAGUACCUGGCCCUGCCCCCCUCACACACAGACAGAGCAGCAAGGUGCCGCUCUUCCUGCCUCACUCGGCGAGGAACGGCGAAACAAACGACUUUUUUUUUUUUUUACACCACGGUAAGCUGUGACUUUGUAAAACAAUAUAACACUACACUUUACUGCCACGCUGUCAGGGCCUGUCAGGGAGAACAUUUCUAGUAUUUUUCCACGCAAGUUUUAGAAAGCGUAUUACAGUGUUUUAACCCCGUGUAAGUUGCAAUAAACAAAGAUAGAUGCAAGUGUUCAUUCACAUGUCCAUCAUUAUCCAAGACUCUUAUGCAGCGUUUUCAAGUGUAAUAAAGAUGUGUGCAGACAUACACGGCGUCCCACUUCUCUCCAUACUUCCAUGCAGGAUG